GAACUUGCGGAAGGAUCAUUGU
rnacentral:rRNA from 1 species